CCUACGGGAGGCAGCAGUGGGGAAUUUUGGACAAUGGGCGCAAGCCUGAUCCAGCAAUGCCGCGUGAAGGAGGAAGSCCUUCGGGUUGUAAACUGCUUUCAUACGGAAGGAAACGGUCUCCUUUAAUAAAGGUGGAUAAUGACGGUACCGCAAGAAGAAGCACCGGCU
rnacentral:rRNA from 1 species